rnacentral:lncRNA from 1 species
UUUAUACCAGCCAAAACUUAAUGCCAUUGAUAACAUACAGUGAACAUAACACAGAAAGAGUAUGCCAUCUCUUCUGUCCUGGCCUUGCCAGACCUUGUCAUGUAUCAAAAUCACCAUAUUGAGGAAGUUUCUGAAUAUCCGAUAGUAGUUGGUUAAGUUGGAAGCAGCAUGAAGAUUAAAAAGGUAUGACCUGGAAUCAUAUUUUAAAAGUCUCUGUCUCUGAGUAUAUGAGAGCUGGUAAGGGCAAAAUGUGGAAUUAUUGUAUCGAGCAUAGAGGACCUUGUAUCAUCUAUAAUAAUGGUAGAAACAUCAUCAUCUCUUCAGAAACACCCAAUGAAUGAUUUUGCUUAAAAUGAUCAGGCUGAACCUUUUGAGAUUUGCUUCAGAUGGACGUGUAGGACAUUUCUACAUAUGGACGGAGAGGGCCCCUUGCAUAUUAGAUAAUCCGUGUGGCACUUGGUACGAUGCUACUUCCAUGAAGAAUAACUACAAUCGUUCGUGUACAAAACGGUCAUUAUAAAUCUCAGCAGAAGUGUUUAAAAGCUUUCUGAGCACCACACAAGAAGACUUACUGAGAGUUCUGAAGAAAAAUCUCCUAAAGAACCUGAGAAUUCUGUUGAAGCUAAAUCUAUUCACCAGUACUGUGUAUUGCAAGAUUCUUUGGCAGUCUAGGUAUCAGAGAUUCAGAUGGAUAAAGGAAACAGCAUCAACA